rnacentral:rRNA from 1 species
UACGGGGGGGCAAGCGUUGUUCGGAAUUACUGGGCGUAAAGGGCUCGUCGGCGGCCAACUCAGUCAGACGUGAAAUCCCUCGGCUUAACCGGGGAACUGCAUCUGAUACUGGAUGGCUUGAGUUCGGGAGAGGGAUGUGGAAUUCCAGGUGUAGCGGUGAAAUGCGUAGAUAUCUGGAGGAACACCGGUGGCGAAGGCGGCAUCCUGGACCGACACUGACGCUGAUGAGCGAAAGCCAGGGGAGCAAACGGG